GUUGUCAUGGCCGAGUGGUUAAGGCAAUGGACUAGAAAUCCAUUGGAGUGUCCUCGUGCAGGUUCAAAUCCUGGUGACAAUG